AAUUGAUUUACAACAAUUGGGAUGGCCCUAACAAACACCCAUCAGUAGGUGUUGAAUUUCUUCUUGCUUGGUAUUCUUUUAUUUUUCUUCUUCCUACUGAAUCUCUUCAAAAAGUUGAUCGAACCAAGCACAUGUUUCCAUGUAUGAUUCAUAGGAACUUUAAUCUCCAAUUUCUUGACGAUCUCCUUAAAGUACUUGAACUUCUUUUCCUUCCUAUGAUUCUUCUUUUGACGAGGAAGAGGCUUUUCAUAUGAUCUUUUCUUCCUUCCCUUCUUCCUCCUUUUCUCACUCUUCUCCUUCAACUUUCUUUUUUUCUCUUUUCUUCUUUUCUUCUUUAUUUUCGCAUAUCUUUUCUUUUUUUCUUUGUUUUCAACCACUACUUUUUCUAUUUCUUCUUCCUCAAUCUUCUCCUCCUCUUUCUCCAAUUUUGUUUCCUCUAUCCUUUUUUCUUUCUUUUAUUCCUCUAUCUUCUCCUCAUCAAUAACCUUAUCACUUUCAAAGAUAGAGGCUUGGCAUUCCUCUUUAGCGUUAACUUCAGUAUUAGCCCGAAUAAUACCCAAAGACUUCAACAUGCAAGAGAUUUGUUCCAACUGUAAAUGUUCUUUAGCUUCCCCCAAUGUUUCUUUGCGUACAAGAGAUUGUUUUUGUUGUAAACGUUGUUGGGCUUCCCCUAACGUUUCUUUUGGUAAGGAGAAUAAGUUCUGCCACAAAACUUGUUUAGCUUCUCCCAACGUUUAUUUUGGCACAGAGAAUAGUUCCUGCUGUAAACGUUCUUUAGCUUCCCCCAACGUUUCUUUUCGCCAAGAGGAAUGUUGCCCAAAUUGGCUUUGAUAUAUGUUUGAAUGAGGUUCCCACCAGUGGUUGAAAUCAUUUUGAUAGAAUUAAGUGCCCAUAUAAUCAAAUUCUUGUUUAAACUGCAUUCUGCAAACGUUAGGCACAAAACCCUAGAGAACAUUUAUUAGAAAAAAAAUAAAAUAAAAAUAAAAAAAAUAAACAAAAAAUCAAGUCAAAUUUAAUCAAUCCAUACUACUUCAAAAAGUAAACCUUGAGUCCCCGACAACGGCGCCAAAAACUUGUUGACGGAUUGGCAAGCGUACCAAAUCGUUCAAGUAAUAUAAUUGGUAAAACCCAAUAUCG
rnacentral:lncRNA from 1 species